AGUGAACGCUGGCGGUAGGCCUAACACAUGCAAGUCGAACGGCAGCACAGUAAGAGCUUGCUCUUACGGGUGGCGAGUGGCGGACGGGUGAGGAAUACAUCGGAAUCUACUUUUUCGUGGGGGAUAACGUAGGGAAACUUACGCUAAUACCGCAUACGACCUACGGGUUAAAGCAGGGGAUCUUCGGACCUUGCGCGAUUGAAUGAGCCGGUGUCGGAUUAGCUAGUUGGCGGGGUAAAGGCCCACCAAGGCGACGAUCCGUAGCUGGUCUGAGAGGAUGAUCAGCCACACUGGAACUGAGACACGGUCCAGACUCCUACGGGAGGCAGCAGUGGGGAAUAUUGGCCAAUGGGCGAAAGCCUGAUACAGCCAUACCGCGUAGGUGAAGAAGGACUUCGGGUUGUAAAGCCCUUUUGUUGGGAAAGAAACGCAGCAGGUUAAUACCCCGCUGUUCUGACGGUACCCAAAGAAUAAGCACCGGCUAACUUCGUG
rnacentral:rRNA from 1 species